UACGUAGGCAGCAAGCGUUGUUCGGAAUUACUGGGCGUAAAGAUUGUGUAGGCGGUGCUCUAAGUCUGUCGUGAAAUCUCCCGGCUUAACUGGGAGGGUGCGGCGGAAACUGGAAUGCUAGAGGGUGGGAGAGGAAAGCGGAAUUCCUGGUGUAGCGGUGAAAUGCGUAGAUAUCAGGAGGAACACCUGCGGUGUAGACAGCUUUCUGGACCACUUCUGACGCUGAGACACGAAAGCGUGGGUAGCAAACAGG
rnacentral:rRNA from 1 species